AUUGAACGCUGGUGGCAUGCCUUACACAUGCAAGUCGAACGGUAACAGGUCUUCGGAUGCUGACGAGUGGCGAACGGGUGAGUAAUACAUCGGAACGUGCCUAGUAGUGGGGGAUAACUACUCGAAAGAGUGGCUAAUACCGCAUGAGAUCUACGGAUGAAAGCAGGGGAUCGCAAGACCUCGUGCUACUAGAGCGGCCGAUGGCAGAUUAGGUAGUUGGUGGGAUAAAAGCUUACCAAGCCGACGAUCUGUAGCUGGUCUGAGAGGACGAUCAGCCACACUGGGACUGAGAAACGGCCCAGACUCCUACGGGAGGCAGCAGUGGGGAAUUUUGGACAAUGGACGAAAGCCUGAUCCAGCAAUGCCGCGUGCAGGAUGAAGGCCCUCGGGUUGUAAACUGCUUUUGUACGGAACGAAAAGCUUCGGGUUAAUACCCUGGAGUCAUGACGGUACCGUAAGAAUAAGCACCGGCUAACUACGUGCCAGCCGCCGCCGUAA
rnacentral:rRNA from 1 species